rnacentral:rRNA from 1 species
GUCCACGCCCUAAACGAUGUCAACUGGUUGUUGGGAAUUCACUUUCUCAGUAACGAAGCUAACGCGUGAAGUUGACCGCCUGGGGAGUACGGCCGCAAGGUUAAACUCAAGGAUUGACGGGACCCGCACAAGCGGUGGAUGAUGUUCUUAAUUCGAUGCAACGCGAAACCUUACCCACCUUUGACAUGUAUGGAAUCCUUUAGAGAUGAAGGAGUGCUCGAAAGAGAGCCAUAACACAGGUGCUGCAUGGCUGUCGU